rnacentral:tRNA from 3 species
GGCUUCAUGGUCUAGUGGUAUGAUUCCUCUUUCGGGUAGAGGAGGCCCCGGGUUCGAAUCCCGGUGAAGCCC